rnacentral:piRNA from 1 species
UUCCUUCCAGCUGCUGAACUGUGGCC